AUGGAGGGGAGUGGCGGGUCCGCGUCGCUGCCGCCGUUCCUCACCAAGACGUACGAGAUGGUGGACGAGCCGGCCACGGACGCGGUGGUGGCGUGGACGCCGUCCGGCACCAGCUUCGUCCACAACAACUUCUCCAGCUUCGUGCGCCAGCUCAACACCUACGGCUUUAGGAAGGUAGAUCCAGAACAAUGGGAAUUUGCAAAUGAAGAAUUCCUACGAGAUCAGCGGCAUCGGUUGAAAAAUAUCCAUAGACGCAAGCCAAUAUUCAGCCAUUCAUCACACACUCAGGGUGCCGGACCAUUAGCUGAUAGUGAAAGGAGGGACUAUGAGGAGGAAAUUGAGAGGCUCAAGUGUGAUAAUGCAUCACUAAAUUUACAGCUUGAGAGGAAGAAAACUGAUAUGGAGAGUAAAAUGAAGGCUUUGGAAGACAAACUAUUUGCUAUUGAGGAUCAGCAGAAAAAUCUUAUAUCUUAUGUCAGAGAAAUUGUGAAUGCACCUGGAUUUCUUUCUAGCUUCGUAGAACAAUCUGAUCAUCAUGGAAAGAAGAGGAGACUGCCUAAACCAAUUUCAUUCCAUGAUGAUGCUUGUACUCAGGGGAACCAGAUUAUGCAUUGUGACUUGGUCAACUCACCAGCUCAUGAACUUUUUAGGUCAUCAUUUGACAAAAUGGAAUCAUCCUUAAAUUCCUUGGAGAAUUUCUUCAAAGAAGCGAGUGAGGCAUUUGGUAAUGAUGUUUCAUCUGAUGGUGAUGUCCCAGGUCAUUCUUCAGCUGUUGUUCUUACAGAGCUCCAUUCAACUGGGGAGAGUGACCCCCACGCGCAAUCACCUCCGUCCAUGAUGCAUACUUGUUCAGCUGGUGUAGGAGAUUCACACUCUUCUCGUGAUAUAGCAGAGUCCGCCAGCUGUCCAGAGAGUCCUCUGCUUCCCCAAGCUCAUUCUCGUGCAGAUUCACGAGCUAAGGUCUCCGAGAUAGAUGUCAAUUUAGAACCUGCUGUUACAGAAAAUGGUCCAUCGAGAGAUCAACAACCCACCCAAGACCUUCCUGCUGACGCAAAUGAUGGAUUUUGGCAGCAGUUUCUUACCGAGCAGCCUGGGUUGACCCAUGCACACCAGGAGGCCCAAUCAGAACGGCGAGACAGAGAAGCAAAUCAAACAACAGCAGGAGACCGCGGAAGUUUUUGGUUGGACAAGAGCAGCAUCGAACAGAUGACAAAAAAACUGGGGCAUCUCACCUCAGCUGAGAAAACCUGA
rnacentral:rRNA from 1 species